UAGUUCCGUACGCUCGUCGCUAUAUUUACCAAAAGUAUCUCUAUUAAGGCAAUGUCGAAUUACUCCUACUACUACGUGAAAACCAUAGCCGAAGGCCCCGACACCGCGAGAACGUACAAAUUCUUAAAAGGGAAUCCUACCCUGUUUCAACCGCCAGAGGACACAUGGUCCACGUAUGGCCGUUACAAUCUUCUCACGCGAUUGCUCAGAGGAGGACUGUCCGGUUCGGGUGACGUCCAUCAUCCAGCGAACACUGUUUUCAAGGUCCGUGCUCACUGUUCGUUUCUUAACAAUUAUCAUCUCGCUCGGCGACGAUUAUACCUGAAUUAUUCACCGACGCGUAUACUUUUUCUUCUCCCCCUCUCGCCACCUCUUUAACGACCUUUUACGGCUCAUUUACUCGGUUACAUUCCGCUCAGCGACGAAACGAUCUCAACGGAGGCAGAAUGAAUUCCGUGCGACUCAGCGGUGGUCGAGUAAUGUCGGUAGGGGGGAAAAUUUUUCCGAGUUCAUCUUGGAACUCCGCCAGUUUCAGCUUUAACAUAAAACGAACCCCUCGCGCGGCGGUUAUAACACACAACGAAUUCAUAUUUUUAGUCGGGCUACUGCCAAGGUUGUUACCCAGUUGUACUGUCUCUGCCGCGCCUGUCUGCCGUUAGCGUUCGUUAUCCUAAUUUAUUGACACGUCGAUUGGAAAAAUAAUCGUUCGCCAAUAUCGCGGUUGGUAAUGAUGAAUUAAAUGUCAACGAACGGUAACGGUCUUGCGAGGAGUUUUAAUGCAAGUGUCAAGAAAAGUACCAUCGUUUCAACGAAUUGAACAUGUUUCCAUCUGACACGCACUGCCCGGGAGGGUUUCGAAAUAAACAACGCAUUAACCUAACGAAGAUACCACCGAUGAAUGCUUUUAUUUCGAAUUAUACGAAUGCGUUUCAUGCCGUCAAUUCCCCAGAGAAACGGUUACGAAACAGUGGAUUAUUCUCUCCUGGCUAACUGCUAUUCGAGGAAUUACUAGGCAAGAUGCAGCAACAGAUUACAUUUAAAAUGACACCUAACAUAUACGUUCGUUUUAAGACAUCCAAGUUUCCGUAUUUCGUUUCAUUAAUACCACUGAUAUAUCUAUGAAAACUACCGUCCCCAGAAUAUUAUUACCAAUAAAUUUAUUCGCCACACAAGAAGAGUCUUUAACGCGAAAUGGUAUUUCCACGAUGAGAUUAGAAAUGGAGGAU